GUUGGUGGAGUGAUUUGUCUGGUUAAUUCCGUUAACGAACGAGACCUCAGCCUGCUAACUAGUAGUGCCUAUCCUUUGGUCGCAGCUGGCCGCCGUAUCUUAUGCGGCUCGGUUCUUGGCCGUUGUCUCCGCCUCGUUGCGUGAGGCGCGGCUGGCCGGUCGUUCGGCGUGUCGGCGGGCCUUUCGGGAUAGGUCCUGCGUCGUCGGGCUCGUUCCCGGCGCGCGAUUCGACUUCUUAGAGGGACUAUCUGUGUGUAGCAGAUGGAAGUUUGAGGCAAUAACAGGU
rnacentral:rRNA from 1 species